UCAAAGAUUAAGCCAUGCAUGUGUAAGUAUAAACAACUUGUAUUUGUGAAACUGCGAAUGGCUCAUUAAAUCAGUUAUAAUUUAUUUGAUAAUGACAUUUACUAUAUGGAUAGCCGUAGUAAUUCUAGAGCUAAUACAUGCGUAAAGGUCUGACUUUUGGAAAGACUGUAUUUAUUAGAUCGGAGACCAAUAACAACUCUCUUGGGAGGUGUAUUAAGGUGAAUCAUGAUAAGUUUGUCGAAUCGAGAAUUUACUUUCUCGAUGUGUCAUUGAAAUUUCUGCCCUAUCAAUUUGUGAUGGUAGGAUAGAGGCCUACGAUGGUUUUGACGGGUAACGGGGAAUUAGGGUUCGAUUCCGGAGAGGGAGCCUGAGAAACGGCUACCACUUCUAAGGAAGGCAGCAGGCGCGCAAAUUACCCAAUCCCAAUAACUUUGGGGAGGUAGUGACAAAAAAUAUUAAUUCGUUUCCCAAAAGGGAGAUGAAAUUGAAAUGGUGUGGAUAUAUCAAGUCCAUAGAGAAACAAUUAGAGGGCAAGUCUGGUGCCAGCAGCCGCGGUAAUUCCAGCUCUAAUAGUGUAUACUAAAAUUGCUGCAGUUAAAAAGCUCGUAGUUGGAUUUGUGAUACUACUAAGCUUAUUUGGUUUGGAAGGGAUGGAUCUAAGUCUCUUCCUUAUGGCCAGUGGGUGAGUAGAAUCAUAAGAAGUUUUCGAAGGGGUGUAUUGCAUUUAACUAUGCCAAUAUGCCUUGUCGGAGAGUUUACUUUGAAGAAAAUGGAGUGUUCAAAGCAGGUAAAUAAUUGCAACUGAACACAUUAGCAUGGAAUAAUAAAAUAGGACACUAGCUGUGGUUAUUAAGGGACUGUAAUAGGUUCAUUUUUAGCCAUGGGUCUUCAGCCGUUAAAAAGUUGGGGAUGUCACUGUUUUGUUGGUCAACAGUGUAUGUGUAAUGAUUAAUAGGGACAGUUGGGGAUAUUGGUAUUGCAUCGUCAGAGGUGAAAUUCUUAGAUUGAUGCAAGACGAACGAGUGCGAAAGCAUCUAUCAAGGAUGUUUUCAUUAAUCAAGAACGAAAGUUAGGGGAUCGAAGGCGAUCAGAAACCGCCCCAGUCUUAACUAUAAACUAUACCAACUAGGAAUUGUCGGGUAUAAGGCACACCUACGGGUGUGUUUUUGCGGUUACAUUUACUCGCUCUAUAUAGAGUGCGUAAAUUGCCUCGCCAGCACCUGUUGAGAAAUCAGAAGUCUUUGGGUUCUGGGGGGAGUAUGGUCACAAGGCUGAAACUUAAAGAAAUUGACGGAAGGGCACCACCAGGUGUGGAGCCUGCGGCUUAAUUUGACUCAACACGGGGAAACUUACCAGGUCCAGACAACGGAAGGAUUGACAGAUUGAGAGUUUUUUCUUGAUUCGGUGGGUGGUGGUGCAUGGUCGUUCUUAGUUGGUGGAGCGAUUUGUCUGCUUAAUUGCGAUAACGAACGAGACCUCAACCUGCUAACUAAGCUUUACGGUAGUUAUCGCUACCGGUUAAGUAAGCUUCUUAGAGGGACAACCACUAUUGAAGUGGGGGAAGCAUGAGGCAAUAACAGGUCUGUGAUGCCCUUAGAUGUCCUGGGCCGCACGCGCGCUACACUGAUUAAAUCAACAAGUAUAGAUACAAGGAAACCCUUCGGGGUCUACUUUUCUCCUUGUCCGAAAGGAUCGGGUAAUCUUUUGAAUUUUAAUCGUGCUGGGGAUUGAUUUUUGUAAUUAUGGAUCAUGAACUAGGAAUACCUAGUAAGUGCAAAUCAUCAGUUUGCGCUGAUUACGUCCCUGCCCUUUGUACACACCGCCCGUCGCUCCUACCGAUUGAAUGAUCAGAUGAAAUGUUUGGAUUGUGACGAGGGAGGGGCAACACCCUCUUGUUGCUGCAAGAAGAACAGUAAAUCUUAUUAUUUAGG
rnacentral:rRNA from 1 species